GUGUAUUAGAGUUUUACAGGCCUU
rnacentral:tRNA from 4 species